GUUCGCUACCUCUGCCCCUCCCACCAGCCAGUGUUGCUGAUCCACCCCUUCUCCCAGCUGAUGCUGAUGAUCCUCCCCUACCACCACGACCUCUUCCACUUGACUUGAGAGGAGAUUCAGCAUCCUUAACAUCAUCUUCAUCACUUGCAUCAUUACCUACAGGUUUCUGAGCAACUGCUCUACCUGAACCAGUCUUCAAUUUCUUACUGGGAG
rnacentral:misc_RNA from 1 species